CUGAACUCUUCUUGAAUCUAAAACUGCCUACAUGGCUAGAUUGAAAGUCACACUUUCUUUAGUGUUUAAUUGCUGGGUCUAAUUGCUGAAGGACUGAAGUUUGCAUUCCCCCUCCUUUGUAGUCCCUACCAACAGCCGAAAACUGUGGAGGAAUAACCGUAAGCCAUGCACUUCCACCCUUCCUGGCUGGCAGUUUCUGCCUCCUACAGAUGUCCUCGGAGCCACUCAGACGUGUGUGAGACUUCGUGGAAAAAAGAAGAGACAAGUUCAAAUCCUAGUGCUACUGGUUGCCUCACGGAGUGAAGGACAUGCUCAAACCCCAGCCCCUGCUCCACCGGGUGAAGCUUGUACAGAAGUCCCAAACCAACCUCCAAAGUCCCCAGGACUCUGAAGAUCAUUCACUGUUUCUUCUACGUGGAGAGAGCAGUUGCAGCCUGCCAGGGAAGGUCGUGGCUGCAAAUGAGCAUCCAUAAACCAUCUGGGAGGGGCCCCACACUGAUUCUAGCCACUUCAAGAACCAUCAAAGUGUCUAAAAGCAGACCUUGUGUUCAUCAGUCUUAAAUCCAGCCUUGGAACAAAACAACAAAAACCAAUAGCAAAAGCACAAAACCCCAAAAUGAACAAACAAACAAAAGUCACAAAACCAAGGAGGAACCCAGUGAAUGGAUGCUUUCACAAUCCUAUCAAGAAAUUCUCAUGGACUUUGGUUUGGAUGCUGGAAAAGCGCCCCUUGUUUUGACCUCUCUUGGUCCCUGUCUAGGCCUUGUAAUACUCACAGCUCUUGCCUGUCCUCUUUCACGUCUCUUUCCAGGUACCAGUCAGGGACCCCGUUUCCUCUGUCACUUGGCUGUUAUAUGAAGGGAACUAGUGAUGUGCUUGGGGGACUUUUAGGUAGACCUACUGGAGCCACCCUGGAUGCUACACCUUAUACACCCAUUCACCAGGAAGAAGCCAGAUCAGUCAUUGUCCCAAUACCAUAAUGGCAGUUAGAGUUACCUCUUCAGAAUGGGGAAUGAGGAGAAUAGAAUGUACAAACAGAUCAGGCAGUCUAGGAUAAAAAGACCCCAAAGGAAAUUAGCUAGCUUCUUUCUCAGCUAAAAGCCAGAAAUAUCCUUGGGCCUCUUGGCAGCCUUGUCCUUGCCAGAGGCCAGAAAUACCAGAAGUGUUUGAGGGAUCUGAUUCCUAAUCUGAUCCCUAAAUGAUUUUGGGUUUACCUUUUUAGGGGGGUGAGGUUAGAGUGGCAAUUGGGCCUGUUUAGAGAUAAGAAUCUCUGUCCAAAUGGAGACCUAACAGUUUUCCGUUUUCAUACACUUGGAGCCUGCUUGCUCUUUCUCUACGGCCUCCCUGCCCACUGCACGCUGCUUCUCCACCAUGCGUCUGACCCCCACAUCAGCUUAUACAGCAUGGCCGCCCUCCCACCUUCCCUCCCUCCUUCUCUCCCUCUCUCCAUGCUUCUCCAGGCUGUUGCUGAGAGUCACAGCUUGCCUGCUGUGGAGACUUUUAAACUCUAAUAAAAGUGUCCUAGAGCUUCCAGAACAACAGUAAAAUCAACCACCCUUUAUGAAGCUGCUGCCACCGUGGAACGUGGUGUUUGGAGCAAUUGGAAUCUGCUUUCCUGGGCGACAGCCACUCAUAAUUAACUCUUGAGUAAGCCAUCUCCCGUUUUCUCUGAGGUGAGAACUGGGGCUUGGGUGUUUGAGUCAAUAGCCAUGCAUUAGCAUAUGCUAAGAUGAUUCACCACAGUUAGGGGAUGAUGAUGGCUCAGAGGAUGAAGACACUUGCCACCAAGCCUGUGACCUGAAUUUGAUCCCUGGGAUCCACGUGGUGGAGGAAAUGAACUGACUCAUGGACAUUUUCCUCUGACCUCCACCAGCACACUCCCCACACUCAAAUAAACAAAUACAGUUUUUGUUUUGUUUUUGUAGAUGGUGUAGGGGAAAAGAGAGCUGAUUCAUUUCCAUGGUGUUAGCCUUCUGCAGGAAGGGCUGUGACCUUUGCAAGUCAUUGGAGCCACUGUCCUGUUGAUAUUUUGGGGCUGACAAGAAGCGAAGCCAUUUUGGUAACUGCUGAGGGCACGAGCUGCCCGCCUGCCCGUGUUGCUGGAGAAACAUUCUCCGAACACGCACUUUCAGCAAGCCCCAGGACUCUGCAUCAGCACCAGCAGACACCACAUCUCAGCUUAGGAUGCAGGAGGCCCUGUUCUGUGUGCUGCCUGUCUGGUGACCAGGAGCAGUGACUCAGGUGUCAGAGCUGGCUUGGCACAACCUGGGUGACAGCUCCUACUGUCUGGCUACCUUUCUAUGUAGACAGUGGCACAGUCCUCGAUGUGAGGUUCACACAAAGCCCUGUUUUCAAAGCAUACAGCAAUUCUGCACCACAAGAGAUGCAGGGGAGGUUAGGCACCCAUCAUUUCACAUCCACACAGUGAUCUCCCUGCUCUGAAUGUGCUCACUGCUCCAUGCUACAUCCUGGGCAUUUAUUGUGGGCCCAGCCCCGUGCUAGACCUGGCAAUCCCGUGUCAUGUAAUUUGACACAAGCUAGAGUUAUCUGAAAGGAGGGGCCUUCAAUUGAGAAAAUGCCUCCAGGGCAUUUUCUAGCUAUAGGAUAUUUUCUUAAUUAGUGAUUGAUGUGGAAGGGCCCAGACCAUUGUGGGUGGGGCCUCCCCUGGGCUGGUGGUCCUGUAAGCGGAAUAUCAGAUCAGGUCUUCUUCUUCCUCUUCCUCUUCCUCUUCC